rnacentral:rRNA from 1 species
GAUUCUGGCUCAGGAUGAACGCUAGCGACAGGCUAACACAUGCAAGUCGAGGGGCAGCAUAGAAGUAGCAAUACUUGGUGGCGACCGGCGCACGGGUGAGUAACGCGUAUGCAACCUACCUAUCAGAGGGGAAUAACCCGGCGAAAGUCGGACUAAUACCGCAUAAAACAGGGGCACCGCAUGGUGAUAUUUGUUAAAGAAAUUCGCUGAUAGAUGGGCAUGCGUUCCAUUAGGUAGUUGGUGAGGUAACGGCUCACCAAGCCGACGAUGGAUAGGGGAACUGAGAGGUUGGUCCCCCACACUGGUACUGAGACACGGACCAGACUCCUACGGGAGGCAGCAGUGAGGAAUAUUGGUCAAUGGGCGGGAGCCUGAACCAGCCAAGUCGCGUGAAGGAAGAAGGAUCUAUGGUUCGUAAACUUCUUUUGCAGGGGAAUAAAGUGCAGGACGUGUCCUGUUUUGUAUGUACCCUGAGAAUAAGGAUCGGCUAACUCCGUGCCAGCCGCCGC